CGUCAAGUCAUCAUGCCCCUUACAUCCUGGGCUACACACGUACUACAAUGCUACGGACAAAGGGCAGCAAGUUCGCGAGGACAAGCAAAUCCCAUAAACCGUAGCUCAGUUCAGAUCGUAGGCUGCAACUCGCCUACGUGAAGGAGGAAUCGCUAGUAAUCGCAGGUCAGCAUACUGCGGUGAAUACGUUCCCGGGCCUU
rnacentral:rRNA from 1 species